rnacentral:rRNA from 1 species
UACAGAGGGUGCAAGCGUUAAUCGGAAUUACUGGGCGUAAAGAGCACGUAGGUGGGUAUUUAAGUCGAAUGUGAAACCCCCGAGCUUAACUUGGGGACUGCAUGCGAUACUGAAUACCUAGAGUAUAGUAGAGGGAAGUGGAAUUUCCGGAGUAGCGGUGAAAUGCGUAGAUAUCGGAAGGAACACCAGUGGCGAAGGCGGCUUCCUGGGCUAAUACUGACACUGAGGUGCGAAAGCGUGGGGAGCAAACAGG